CUCCACCAGCCUCCUGACAAGGUGGAUAGCUUCUGUAGUGGAUCGGCCCGGCAUGAAACCGAACUGGUUCGCAGAUAUAGAUGUCAUCUCACUCGCCCUCGCCUCGAUCACCCGCUCCCAGACCUUCAUGGUGUGACUUAUUAAUUUGAUACCCCUAUAGUUGUUGCAGCACUGGAUGUCCCCUUUGUUCUUGUACAAGGGCAUCAACUUACAACUCAAAGAUCAUUAAUUUGGUAGAUGUUAUGUUUUCUACUAGUAUUUGUCUGUAGUUUUUCUCAUUAUCAUCGUAAAAGAAACAAACUAAAAGAGCCACCAUUAUCAUCGUAGUUCCCUUUCUUUUUUUAAAGAAAUUUUUGACAUAAUUAUGUCCCCUAGCGACUCGAUCCCCUAACCUUAAGGUAGGAGGUGGAGAUGCUUCCAUUCGAUCCUUCCUCUAUGGUCAGUUGUCCCAAGUUCUCGAGCAUCAUUUCGCAUUGUUUUGUUAUUACCUAUAAAACUACGACUUAUAACUGAGGAAUAAGCCAUUUAUUGAAAUUAAAAAAAGAAAGGGAACUACGAAAUAAGCUAACAUCACAGUUCUACGCCGAGAUCGGAGGGCUACGAAACCACUGAUUUUUAUUCUUUUAAUUCAGGCAACCUACCAGCCUUGACCUAUGUUGUCCCCUCACAAGAUCAACACUCACUCAAACACAAACUGAAAGUGACAAAAAAUAA
rnacentral:lncRNA from 1 species